rnacentral:tRNA from 6 species
GGGGGUGUCGCAUAGUGGCAAUUGCGGCUGACUGUAACUCAGCUCCUUCGGGUUCAGAGGUUCGAGUCCUCUCACCCCCA